UAAAUGUGGAGCCACAGACAUUUACAAUACAAUAUUUUCUUAGAAUAUAGAACCAAGUGUGUAUGGUAGUACUAACAAAGUUCCGCCUGCCCGCAGUGCCGUCGCGCGGCGGCGGCGCGAGCACCCCCGGCGCCCGUGGUGCCGGUGCGUGCGUCCGUCACGCCGCAUAAGCGCCGCUACACCUACUACAACAAGAUGUACCGCCCCAUGUGCUACGAGCUGCCGCGACCCUUCACCAUCUCACUCGUCUAACUAUAAACUAGAACCUAAUAUAUUGCAUAAUUACCGUUCAUGCGCCAUCAGUCAGCUCCUCCUCCUCCGAGCGCGGAGCUGUGCAGGUAGCUACCGCUGUGGGGGUGACAACAUGGCCGAACACAUUUCUAUUGUACUUUAGUUGUACGACUAUAAAAUAAAAACUAUAUUAUGA